rnacentral:rRNA from 1 species
UGGGGAAUCUUGCACAAUGGGCGAAAGCCUGAUGCAGCAACGCCGCGUGCGGGAAGACAGCCCUAGGGUUGUAAACCGCUUUCAGCAGGGAAGAAACUGACGGUACCUGCAGAAGAAGAUGCGGCCAACUACGUGCCAGCAGCCGCGGUGACACGUAGGCAUCAAGCGUUAUCCGGAUUUAUUGGGCGUAAAGAGCUCGUAGGCGGUUCGGUAAGUCGGGUGUGAAACUCUGGGCUCAACCCAGAGAGGCCACUCGAUACUGCUGUGACUAGAGUGCGGUAGGGGAGCGGGGAAUUCCUGGUGUAGCGGUGAAAUGCGCAGAUAUCAGGAGGAACACCAGUGGCGAAGGCGCCGCUCUGGGCCGUAACUGACGCUGAGGAGCGAAAGCAUGGGUAGCAAACAGGAUUAGAUACCCUGGUAGUCCAUGCCGUAAA